rnacentral:ncRNA from 1 species
AAAGGGGUGCCCGUUUGCUUGGCGGGCUGAGAUCAUACCCUAUGAACCUGAAGCGGAUUAUACCGACGUAGGAAUUGUUU